GAAUCCUACACUGUUUUUACUGUUAGAAAGCGAAUGAAAUUGCCAAUCAAACUCUACUCCAGAGAAUUGAUAAGCCAUCCCUUCACUAUGAAGUUCUCGGUGCGCCAGCCGGGAAACGUUGGAGCAGUCGAAUGAGGUUAUGGAAGAUCACUAUUAAUAUGUCCCAAUUUAUCUUUGUUGGAGAUAUACAUCUCGACAACUUGCG
rnacentral:lncRNA from 1 species